rnacentral:rRNA from 1 species
UUCCAGACUCCUACGGGAGGCAGCAGUGGGGAAUAUUGCACAAUGGGGGAAACCCUGAUGCAGCAACGCCGCGUGAGUGAAGAAGUAUUUCGGUAUGUAAAGCUCUAUCAGCAGGGAAGAAGAAAGACGGUACCUGACUAAGAAGCCCCGGCUAACUACGUGCCAGCAGCCGCGGUAAUACGUAGGGAGCGAGCGUUAUCCGGAAUUAUUGGGUGUAAAGGGUGCGUAGACGGGUAAAUAAGUUAGUUGUGAAAUCCCUCGGCUCAACUGAGGAACUGCAACUAAAACUGUAUAUCUUGAGUGCGGGAGAGGAAAGUGGAAUUCCUAGUGUAGCGGUGAAAUGCGUAGAUAUUAGGAGGAACACCAGUGGCGAAGGCGACUUUCUGGACCGUAACUGACGUUGAGGCACGAAAGUGUGGGGAGCAAACAGGAUUAGAUACCCCAGUA